AUGCAGUCGAGCGGUAGCACAGGGAGCUUGCUCUCUGGGUGACGAGCGGCGGACGGGUGAGUAAUGUCUGGGAAACUGCCUGAUGGAGGGGGAUAACUACUGGAAACGGUAGCUAAUACCGCAUGACCUCGCAAGAGCAAAGUGGGGGACCUUCGGGCCUCACGCCAUCGGAUGUGCCCAGAUGGGAUUAGCUAGUAGGUGGGGUAAUGGCUCACCUAGGCGACGAUCCCUAGCUGGUCUGAGAGGAUGACCAGCCACACUGGAACUGAGACACGGUCCAGACUCCUACGGGAGGCAGCAGUGGGGAAUAUUGCACAAUGGGCGCAAGCCUGAUGCAGCCAUGCCGCGUGUGUGAAGAAGGCCUUAGGGUUGUAAAGCACUUUCAGCGAGGAGGAAGGGUUCAGUGUUAAUAGCACUGUACAUUGACGUUACUCGCAGAAGAAGCACCGGCUAACUCCGUGCCAGCAGCCGCGGUAAUACGGAGGGUGCAAGCGUUAAUCGGAAUUACUGGGCGUAAAGCGCACGCAGGCGGUUUGUUAAGUCAGAUGUGAAAUCCCCGAGCUUAACUUGGGAACUGCAUUUGAAACUGGCAAGCUAGAGUCUUGUAAGGGGGGUAGAAUUCCAGGUGUAGCGGUGAAAUGCGUAAGAUCUGGAGGAAUACCGGUGGCGAAGGCGGCCCCCUGGACAAAGACUGACGCUCAGUGCAAAGCGUGGGGGACAAACACGGAUUAAUCCCUGGAGUCCACCUGUAAACAUGUCACUUUGGAGGUUGUGCCCCUGAGGCGUGUCCGGACUAACCGUUUAACUCACCGUCGGGGAGGCCCCCGGUUACACCACAUAUGAUUGAGGGGCCAAAUCAGUGGAAAUUGUUAUUUCUCCCCCCCACUUACCUCUUCUUCACCAAGCCGUGUCGCCUGGAGCCCUGCCCGGAAGUGUCGAUCGUUGCUGUGUGAUUC
rnacentral:rRNA from 1 species